ensembl:lncRNA
UUUAAAUUCAAAAAUCAAAAGUUAUUUAAUAACUGAACAACGUAUUAGGGAUUACAAUUACAAAGUGAAAUACUAAGCGAACAGUGGAAUAUUUCGCGAAAUAGAGAAUCCUCUGAGCAAGUCUGAAGUGACUUAUCAACGCGGCUGCAGGAGAAGUUCUAACAGUCUUUUCCCCGCCAUGGUCCUUUGAAACCUCUUGAGGUGUGUCUUCUUUGGUGCAUUUGAAUGUCAUUGGCCUCUUCUCCAAAGGGUCACCUCCUCCAUUGUCCCUUCCACGUCGAGGUGUGUCUUCUUUGGUGCAUUUGAAUGUCAUUGGCCUCUUCUCCAAAGGGUCACCUCCUCCAUUGUCCCUUCCACGUCGAGGUGUGACCCUUUGGAGAAGAGGCCAAUGACAUUCAAAUGCACCAAAGAAGACACACCUCAAGAGGUUUCAAAGGACCAUGGCGGGGAAAAGACUG